AUGGGCACAUCAAUAAGGGCAUGGAGCCCAUCAAAGAGGAGGUCGGAGCGGCGUUGGACCUGGAUCAACACAUCUAAAUCAAGCGGCCGGCGCCGGCUGGGAGUCGCCAACGCUCCACCUGGACGGCAUCGGCUGGGAGCUGCGACAGCUCCACAUGCAAUGGCUGGCCGGGGACCAGACCUCGACAGGAACGUGUUGCCCUUUGAGCCAGUGUUCUUUGACCUCGAGAUGGCAACCAGGAGCUCAAGAGCGACGUCAAGGACCUCUACAUCAACCUCGGGCAAGUAA
rnacentral:rRNA from 1 species